CCUACGGGAGGCAGCAGUGGGGAAUAUUGCACAAUGGAGGAAACCCUGAAGCAGCGAUGCCGCGUGCGUGAAGACGGAUCUAGUUAUGUAAAGCUCUAUUAGCAGGGAAGAAAAUGACGGUACGUGUGUAAGAAGCCCCGUCUAACUACGUGCCAGCAGCCGCGGUAAUACGUAGGGGGCAAGCGUUAUCCGGAGUUACUGGGUGUUAAGGGAGCGUAGACGGGAGUGCAAGUCCGGGGUGAAAGGCGGGGGCUCAACCCCCGGACUGCUCUGGAAACUGUACGGCUGGAGUGCAGGAGAGGUAAGUGGAAUGUAUGGUGUAGCGGUGAAAUGCGUAGAGAUUAGGAGGAACACCAAUGGCGAAGGCAGCUUACUAGGCUGUAACUGACGUUGAGGCACGAAAGCGUGGGGAGCAAACAGGAUUAGAUACCCUAGUAGUC
rnacentral:rRNA from 1 species